UUUGGCACCUCGAUGUCGGCUCAUCACAUCCUGGGGCUGAAGUAGGUCCCAAGGGUAUGGCUGUUCGCCAUUUAAAGUGGUACGCGAGCUGGGUUUAGAACGUCGUGAGACAGUUCGGUCCCUAUCUGCCGUGGGCGCUGGAGAACUGAGGGGGGCUGCUCCUAGUACGAGAGGACCGGAGUGGACGCAUCACUGGUGUUCGGGUUGUCAUGCCAAUGGCACUGCCCGGUAGCUAAAUGCGGAAGAGAUAAGUGCUGAAAGCAUCUAAGCACGAAACUUGCCCCGAGAUGAGUUCUCCCUGAGACUUAGAGUCUCCUGAAGGAACGUUGAAGACGACGACGUUGAUAGGCCGGGUGUGUAAGCGCAGCGAUGCGUUGAGCUAACCGGUACUAAUGAACCGUGAGGCUUAACCUUACAACGCCGAAG
rnacentral:rRNA from 1 species